AAAAUCUCCCCUACUUUUAAUUUCCUUCCAACUUUCAUUAAACAAUUUAUUAAUUAAAAAUCUCCUUUCCCUCUGCCCCAACCCGAAAAGACUCUCCAUCUCCACCUCCACCAGUCGAUCAGCGGCGAACCACGAUGAUCAACCUGCUCCAAUGACCCCGAAAAGCCUCUCAAUCUCCACCUCCAUCGAUCGACGGCAACCCAAAACACGUUUCGGCCAGCCACCUGCUUAAACGGUUCUGCUCGAACGCUCAUUCAUUCUGUAUCUUGCACAUGUUGAAGUUGAGAUUAACAAAGAGUCCAUUAAGUAUGAUUGGCGAAAAAUUAAAUCCAAAGAAGAAGGAAAAAAACAGUUGCUGCAACAAACCAAAUGAUGAUGAAGGAAGAGCCCCGAACUUUCAGCUUGAUAGAACAAGAAACUGAUGCUGAGGAGCUAAAAAAUACAAUUUGUUUUUCCUUUGUAUUGGCAGGCCUUUAUUUUCCUUCCAAGUUGAUGCUUUGUCCUAAAAUCCGUGCCGAAUAGGUUGUAGAAGCAUGUUAUGUAAUAUUUGAGAUAAUUGAGUUUGUUUUCUUAAUGAGGUUCCAACCAUCCUUUGAUUAGAGAACCUCUGUUCUUGAGUUUUUUUGUCGUGUAGCUUGAUGUGUUCAUUUAUAUUGUUCAGUUUGCAUUUAGAAGUAAGCAACAGAUGUGUGGAUUUGAACUGAGGUUAAAUGUUGUUUUUAGAUAUAUUGAUGGUUCUUUGUAGGAAAAAUACUUAUUUCA